GACGAACGCUGGCGGCGUGCUUAACACAUGCAAGUCGAGCGGUAAGGCCCUUCGGGUACACGAGCGGCGAACGGGUGAGUAACACGUGGGUGACCUGCCUUUAGCUCUGGGAUAAGCCUGGGAAACUGGGUCUAAUACCGGAUAUGACCUCAUGACGCAUGUUGUGGGGUGGAAAGCCUUGUGCGGCUAGAGAUGGGCCCGCGGCCUAUCAGCUUGUUGGUGGGGUGAUGGCCACCAAGGCGACGACGGGUAGCCGGCCUGAGAGGGCGACCGGCCACACUGGGACUGAGACACGGCCCAGACUCCUACGGGAGGGCAGCAGUGGGGAAUCUUGCGCAAUGGGCGAAAGCCUGACGCAGCGACGCCGCGUGAGGGAUGACGGCCU
rnacentral:rRNA from 1 species